AUACGUAGGGGGCAAGCGUUGUCCGGAAUUACUGGGCGUAAAGAGCUCGUAGGCGGCUCAGCAAGUCGGUCGUGAAAGCCCGAGGCUCAACCUCGGAACUGCGGUCGAUACUGCUGUGGCUAGAGUCCAGUAGAGGAGAGUGGAAUUCCCGGUGUAGCGGUGGAAUGCGCAGAUAUCGGGAGGAACACCAGUGGCGAAGGCGGCUCUCUGGGCCGGUACUGACGCUGAGGAGCGAAAGCGUGGGGAGCAAACAGUAUUAGAAACCCUAGUAGUCC
rnacentral:rRNA from 1 species